UCAUAUUCUGUCACUUGAGAGUUCAGUAUAAGGCAUAGAAGGUUCUUCAUCAACUAGAAAGGGUUCAAAACUUUGGAGAAACCAAAGAACAUCCAAUUAUGAAAGGGAAUAGGCAAUUUAAUAAAGCGUAUGAAUACAUUUUGUGACCAUCAAAAAUACAAUUUGUGACCACUGCACCAAGUAAAGCGCAUUCAUCUUGUACCUAUAUUAAAUAAAUUUCUUAAUAGAAUAUUUUCCGGAGGAAAAUGAAAAGCUUUAAGUCUGAGUUACGAUACUAAAAGAUAGAGGGUUCUGUAUGCUAGAGGAUCCUUGUUUUUCUUUUGAGUUGCUGACGUUUUCUCAACCCGAAACAAAAUAAUUAGAACAAAUUUACUUGCAACAAUUCACAUAAACAUAUUUUUUAUCUCUAACCUUGACACGAAUAUUCCUAUAAUAAAGGCGAUAAAAAACACCACGACGAAGCAGACAAUGGCGCUGUGAAAUAUCAACAUCAGCAAAAAUCUCGAGUUUUAAGGACGACAGAUGCAAAGCAUGUGGCAGUGUGAAGCUUUUUUACAGAAAUUAUCUUGAUCACAUUUUCAUUUAUGUGUUGUAGAUAAGUUCAGAGGAGAGAUCUGCGUUCGCUUCAAGCCUUAAUAAUUGCAUGCAGCGCACCUGCGUUAUGUGUGAGACACCUGCUUGAUCACAAGAGAGGUUAAAUCCCCUCUCAAUAGCUAUUUAAGUAUCAUGCAUUGUCGACAAACCACAGUUUCAUUUGCUAAGAGCCGAGAGGUUAGCUGAAUUUGAAGAGACUUUCAUACAUUUCUAGACCAUGACAAGCCCAAUACUGAAGACCUUCUUGUCUUGGACAAAGAGAGGGACGCAGAGCAAAGAAAGGAGAAAAAGUGGUGAAUCCAAAAAGCUGAAAAGAAGCUCAUCGCGUAAUUCUUCAGGGUCUGAUAAUUCGGAUCACUGCAGCCAAUUCUUCAGUGGCAGUGAAGAAAGUGUAGAAUAUUGGUCACCAUCCUGUCGAAUGAUUCGGAGGCAUGCAAUCUGCGAGGAAAACCUACGCGAGUAUUAUACAUACUGGUGUAUUGGCGAUACACACAACCAAACAGAAGAACACCAUCGAACGAGCCAAACAAAUCAGAGAAAGGAACGAUAACACAUGUGAUUUGCUAGGAUUUAUCGCUUUGGAUUGGAGAUUCAUCCCUUCGCGUAGUUAUUGGCCAAUUGACAGGGGCUUCGAACACUUUGAAGUGCCACGAAGAAGAGAAUCUGGCGGGAUUUUUGCAGACAGGCAAUCCCAUAGACAAUAACCGCAAAGACAAAAAAAAAACAUUAGAAUCGCACUAUGCGACUAAACUUCCCGAGAUCGAGGAACAUCCAAGAAGUCAAACUGUAAGUUUGAAGUUUUUAAUGCAAAGUUUGGGAAAGAAUAAAAUUCAUUUUUGUAAUUAUGUAGCUAUGUAAAUUUCAUCCAGUAGUUUGUCAUGUUGUAGUAAAUUAAAACGAAUUUUGAAUGCUGCAAGUAUGGUGCUUUGGUUAAUGGAAUGAGAUUUUUUAA